CAAAACUUCAAAAAUAGGUCUCAGUUCGGACUGUAGGCUGCAACUCGCCUACACGAAGUUGGAAUUGCUAGUAAUCGUGGAUCAGCAUGCCACGGUGAAUACGUUCCCGGGUCUUGUACACACCGCCCGUCACACCAUGGGAGCUGGUAACACCCGAAGUCAGUAGCCUAACCGCAAGGAGGACGCUGCCGAAGGUGGGAUUAGCGACUGGGGUGAAGUCGUAACAAGGUACC
rnacentral:rRNA from 1 species